rnacentral:rRNA from 1 species
UGGGGAAUUUUGGACAAUGGGCGAAAGCCUGAUCCAGCAAUGCCGCGUGUGUGAAGAAGGCCUUCGGGUUGUAAAGCACUUUUGUCCGGAAAGAAAUGGCUCUGGUUAAUACCUGGGGUCGAUGACGGUACCGGAAGAAUAAGGACCGGCUAACUACGUGCCAGCAGCCGCGGUAAUACGUAGGGUCCAAGCGUUAAUCGGAAUUACUGGGCGUAAAGCGUGCGCAGGCGGUUGUGCAAGACCGAUGUGAAAUCCCCGAGCUUAACUUGGGAAUGGCAUUGGUGACUGCACGGCUAGAGUGUGUCAGAGGGGGGUAGAAUUCCACGUGUAGCAGUGAGAUGCGUAGAGAUGUGGAGGAAUACCGAUGGCGAAGGCAGGCCCCUGGGAUAACACUGACGCUCAUGCACGAAAGCGUGGGGAGCAAACAGG